GCACAAUCUGUUGUGCAGCUACUUGGCAACGACACCUGGAACAUGGGCUCUGACUGAACCACCACAGAAAUUUAUGCAGUUAUGCACAGAAAAGAAAAAAAUAAAAAUGGUGUUAACACUGAGUGCAAGGAAUAACAUAACCAUCUGCAUCGCUGUGAAGUCAACGUGAACAGGUAUCCCCAGGCACUUCAUGAGGGUACUGGAACAUCUGGUUAUGUAAUUUAUCUUUAAGUGCAUUAAGAACAGCUGACAGACUCCAGAGUACAGCCUUCACUUUCGGAAUUCAGGAAUACUUUCUCUAGUGUUUAGAACUUGUACCAGAUCCAUCGCAGCUCUUGUAGAAUCAGAUUCCUCGGUCGCCAAGUUGACUGGAAGGGAGCAUUUGUUCAGCAGGACCUCUGUACACUGGCAAUACUGUUGCAAGCAUUACCCCAAGACUCCAGCUGGCAGAAAUUUCUCAAUAAAAGAAUAAUUUCACCAUC